rnacentral:rRNA from 1 species
UGCAGUCGACGGGCUCUUCGGAGCAAGUGGCGGACGGGUGAGUAACGCGUGAGAAUGUGCUUUGAGGAUGGGGAUAACAAUAGGAAACUAAUGCUAAGACCCAAUGUGCCUUAAGUGGUGAAAAAUGAAAAUUGCCUGAAGAGGAGCUCGCGGCUGAUUAGCUAGUUGGGGUGGUAAAAGCGCACCAAGGCGACGAUCAGUAGCUGGUCUGAGAGGAUGAGCAGCCACACUGGGACUGAGACACGGCCCAGACUCCUACGGGAGGCAGCAGUGGGGAAUUUUCCGCAAUGGGCGAAAGCCUGACGGAGCAAUACCGCGUGAGGGAGGAAGGCUCUUGGGUUGUAAACCUCAAAACUUAGGGAAGAAAAAAAUGACGGUACCUAAUUUAAGCAUCGGCUAACUCCGUGCCAGCAGCCGCGGUAAUACG